GUGAGGAAUAUUGCGCAAUGGAGGCAACUCUGACGCAGCCAUGCCGCGUGCAGGAAGAAGGCGCUACGCGUUGUAAACUGCUUUUAACCGGGAAGAAACCCCAGGACGUGUCCUGGGUUGACGGUACCGGAGGAAUAAGCACCGGCUAACUUCGUGCCAGCAGCCGCGGUAAUACGAAGGGUGCAAGCGUUAUCCGGAUUCAUUGGGUUUAAAGGGUGCGUAGGCGGAGCGUUAAGUCAGUGGUGAAAUCCUGCAGCUUAACUGUAGACUUGCCAUUGAUACUGGCGCUCUUGAGUGCGCUUGAAGUGGGCGGAAUGUGCCGUGUAGCGGUGAAAAGCUUAGAUAUGGCACAGAACACCAAUUGCGAAGGCAGCUCACUAAGGCGAUACUGACGCUGAGGCACGAAAGCGUGGGGAUCGAACAGGAUUAGAUACCCGUGUAGUCC
rnacentral:rRNA from 1 species